CCAAUAGCGUAUAUUAAAGUUGUUGCAGUUAAAAAGCUCGUAGUUGAAUUUCGGGGUCAGUAGGUUGGCCAUGCCACUGGUAUGUACUGGUCUCACUGAUUCCUCCUUCCUGAUGAGCUGUAAUGCCAUUAAUUUGGUGUUGCGGGGAAUCUGGACUGUUACUUUGAAAAAAUUAGAGUGUUUAAAGCAGGCUAACGCCUGAAUACAUUAGCAUGGAAUAAUGAAAUAGGACGUUCGAUCCUAUUUUGUUGGUUUCUAGGAUUGACGUAAUGAUUAAUAGGGAUAGUUGGGGGCAUUAGUAUUCAAUUGUCAGAGGUGAGAUUCUUGGAUUUAUUGAAGACUAACUACUGCGAAAGCAUUUGCCAAGGAUGUUUUCAUUAAUCAAGAACGAAAGUUAGGGGAUCGAAGACGAUCAGAUACCGUCGUAGUCUUAACCAUAAACUAUGCCGACUAGGGAUCGGAUGAUGUUAAUUUUUUAAUGACUCAUUCGGCGCCUUACG
rnacentral:rRNA from 1 species